GGAAGCUGCCUUAUACCGAGUCGGACCUUCAGUUGAUCUAGCUAACUAUCAUCUGCACCACACCAGCCUGUGGCCUUCCAAAUGGUGCUGGACUGCAGUUCCUGUGACUUUAUUAAUUAAUGCCACACCAUGUGCGAUCACAGAUUCACUGCAAUGGACUUCCACUAGACCAGAAGGCACGUUGGCACAUGCUAACCAGCCCCAGAAAAGACCACUGCAGCAGCUGAGAGGAAAUAUUGGUCCUAGCUUACUUGCUCCUGUCCUGCAGCAGCUAUAGCUGAUUAUCCCAAGUUGACUAGCUAAUUGCACCUCUGCAAUAAACCAGUGUCCUAGAGAAGAGCAUCAAGGUCUUCUAUUCUUCCCUCAGACCCUGUUCAUAAUAGUAGCAUAGCAUUAAACGAAAGCAAAGGAGAGAACAGUUAAAAAUCAAUAAGUGAGGAGAGAAAAAGAAUGCACUGUGAACUCUCCAGGAUUAGAGAAUUAAAUGGUGGAAUUCCUGAAAGAAUGACAUCCUAGAGGCCAAUUUUUAUAAGAGCUUGGACACUUAAGUGAAUAACGAGAAUAUCCAGAAAGACUUAAUAAACAACUAUCCUCUACUGUC